rnacentral:tRNA from 1 species
GGGUGGGUUAGCUCAGUGGUUAGAGUUUAGGCUUUGUGACCGGGAGGCCCCGGGUUCGAAUCUCGCCAGAGGCA